CCUACGGGAGGCAGCAGUGAGGAAUAUUGGUCAAUGGGCGGAAGCCUGAACCAGCCAAGUCGCGUGAGGGAUUAAGGCCCUGCGGGUCGUAAACCUCUUUUGCCGGGGAGCAGUGGUCCGGACGCGUCCGGACCGGGAGAGUACCCGGAGAAAAAGCAUCGGCUAACUCCGUGCCAGCAGCCGCGGUAAUACGGGGGAUGCGAGCGUUAUCCGGAUUUAUUGGGUUGAAAGGGUGCGUAGGCGGGCAUUUAAGCCGGCGGUCACAUGGCGGGGCUCAACCCCGGCCUGCCGUCGGAACUGGGGGCCUGGAGUGGGCGAGAAGUAGGCGGAAUGCGUGGUGUAGCGGUGAAAUGCAUAGAUAUCACGCAGAACCCCGAUUGCGAAGGCAGCAUACCGGCGCCCGACUGACGCUCAUGCACGAAAGCGUGGGUAUCGAACAGGAUUAGAUACCCGUGUAGUC
rnacentral:rRNA from 1 species